rnacentral:snRNA from 1 species
AUGAAGUGCUCAGAGGAAC